AUAUCAAUAAGCGGAGGAAAAGAAACCAACAGGGAUUGCCCCAGUAACGGCGAGUGAAGCGGCAACAGCUCAAAUUUGAAAUCUGGCCCCUGCGGGGUCCGAGUUGUAAUUUGCAGAGGAUGCUUCGGCGUCGGCCCCGGGUCAAGUCCCCUGGAACGGGGCGUCCUAGAGGGUGAGAGCCCCGUACCCUCCCGGGUGUCCUUCGCCGUGUGAAGCUCCUUCGACGAGUCGAGUUGUUUGGGAAUGCAGCUCUAAGCGGGAGGUAAAUUUCUUCUAAGGCUAAAUACCGGCCAGAGACCGAUAGCGCACAAGUAGAGUGAUCGAAAGAUGAAAAGCACUUUGGAAAGAGAGUUAAAGAGCACGUGAAAUUGUUGAAAGGGAAGCUCUUGCCGCCAGACUUGCCGCGGUUGCUCGGUCGUCCCCAGGGGCGGCGUACUCUUCCGCCGGCAGGCCAGCGUCGGUUCGGGCGGCCGGAUAAAGGCCCCGGGAACGUGGCACCCUCCGGGGUGUGUUAUAGCCCGGGGUGCAAUGCGGUCAGCCCGGUCCGAGGCACGCGUUCGCGAGGACGCUGGCGUAAUGGCUGCAAGCGACCCGUCUUGAAACACGGACCAAGGAGUCUAACAUCUGUGCGAGUGUUUGGGCGUCAAACCCAUGCGCGUAAUGAAAGUGAACGGAGGUGGGAACCCCCUCGAGGGGCGCACCAUCGACCGAUCCUGAUGUCUUCGGAUGGAUUUGAGUAAGAGCAUAGCUGUUGGGACCCGAAAGAUGGUGAACUAUUCCCGGAUAGGGUGAAGCCAGGGGAAACUCUGGUGGAGGCUCGCAGCGGUUCUGACGUGCAAAUCGAUUCGUCAAAUCUAGGAAUAGGGGCGAAAGACUAAUCGAACCA
rnacentral:rRNA from 1 species